CUUGAUCAGUUGAAUGAUGUGUAAAACAUCAAAAGAGAAAGAGGUCUGCACACAUGGGGAACAAGAAACACAGAUCUCUCCACUGCUGGUAAAGUGGAAGACGAGAGCUGCAGGCCUAAUCACUCAAGAGCACAUUUCCUGCCUUCUGCAUGAUGAGAUGAAGCCAACUGAAACUGUCAAAGGCUAAUAUUUAACCCGAAGCUCAUUCAUUUUCAGCAGAAAACACACAGGGUUUAUCUGCACACAUAUCCGAACUGCAACAAUAUCCCAGCCUGGCGGGUUAAAAUCUCGGAUGUUGAGCAGCUCUUUAUUGUGGGCAAUAGGUGUGCUUUGCAAAAUGGUGAUAACAAAGACAAAAUGGUGUCAGGGACAUCUGUAAAAAAAAAAAGAAAAAAAGAAGAAAAAAAGAAAUCACAAAUGUUUCACAGGUAAGGUAUGAGAAUCAGGAUUGCUUAGCAACAGCAGUACAAAAAAAAAAAAGACUCGCUCAUGUGUGGUAAGCAGAGAACCGGCCGUGCUGCCACCUAGCGGUGGCCUGACGGCACUUGCAGGAGGGACACCGGCACUUGAAAGCUCAGUCCUCAGAGGCAUACAUGCGCAGUAAGAAGAAGCUGCAGCUUUCGUGCAACGUGUGAACCACGCGAAUGAAGAAGGGCUUUAUUUUAAAAGAGGAACUGAGAGGAACACAAUUACUGCCAUAGGAGGACAUCGGCUGCUGUAGACGAGGAACAGAUAAAGAUGGGGCCCUGGACACAUACUGAAGAUGGAGAAGCACGUAGCUGCCAGAUGCAACUUUGGAUAAAUAGCACAUGUACCUGCAUGUUCUCGUUUGCA